UGUGUGUUUAUUUUGGUGCACACAUAUGCAUAUUUGUUGUGUGUAUAUAUAUGUAUACACACACACAUACACACUCUCUA
rnacentral:miRNA from 1 species